GGCUCAGGAUGAACGCUAGCUACAGGCUUAACACAUGCAAGUCGAGGGGCAGCAUGUCGGUUGCUUGCAACCGACGAUGGCGACCGGCGCACGGGUGAGUAACGCGUAUCCAACCUACCCUUGUCCAUCGGAUAACCCGUCGAAAGGCGGCCUAACACGAUAUGCGGUUCUCAGCAGGCAUCUAACGAGAACGAAAUGUGAAGGAGAAGGAUGGGGAUGCGUCUGAUUAGCUUGUUGGCGGGGUAACGGCCCACCAAGGCGACGAUCAGUAGGGGUUCUGAGAGGAAGGUCCCCCACAUUGGAACUGAGACACGGUCCAAACUCCUACGGGAGGCAGCAGUGAGGAAUAUUGGUCAAUGGACGGGAGUCUGAACCAGCCAAGUAGCGUGCAGGAUGACGGCCCUAUGGGUUGUAAACUGCUUUUAUAGGGGGAUAAAGUGUGCCACGUGUGGCAUAUUGCAGGUACCCUAUGAAUAAGGACCGGCUAAUUCCGUG
rnacentral:rRNA from 1 species